rnacentral:rRNA from 1 species
GACGAACGCUGGCGGCGUGGAUUAGGCAUGCAAGUCGGACGGUAGGGCUUUAUCGUAAGAUAGAGUUUGAGAGUGGCGAACGGGUGAGUAACACGUAGGAAUCUACCCUUAAGACGGGGACAACCCAGGGAAACUUGGGCUAAUACCGGAUGGAGAGUGCGAGAGAUUGCAAUUUAAAAGGAUGGCGAAAGUUGUCGCUUAGGGAUGAGCCUGCGGUCUAUUAGUUAGUUGGUGAGGUAAGAGCUCACCAAGGCGAUGAUAGAUAGGCGGCCUUAACGGGUGGUCGCCCACACUGGGAUUGAGAUACGGCCCAGACUCCUACGGGAGGCAGCAGUCGAGAAUAGUCUACAAUGGCCGGAAGGCUGAUAGUGCGACGCCGCGUGAACGAGGGGACCCGUUCGGGGUGUAAAGUUCUUUUCUAUACGAGCAGUGCUAUAUAUAUGGAUAGUAUAUAUAGAGGGAUAGUAGUAUAGGAAAUAAGCAACGGCUAACUCCGUGCCAGCAGCCGAAC